GAAAAAUUACCUCCCUUACCAAGUGAGGUUCCCACAGAGGUGGAAAAUUUAGUGUUCUUGACAUUGAGUAGGAAAACAAACAAGAGACCCACAUCCAGAUUUGCUGCUGAUGUUAUGCAAGUGUUCCUGUGGACACCCUCUGACUGGCUGUUACCUAGCAACAAGUUGUCAAGGUCAGAGGUCAACUGGUGGUUUAUCUCUAUGGCAACAGAAGUUCUUCUUGGUGCAAAAAGUACAGAACAAGAUCUGAAAAGAAGUUUUCUGGAAAAUAUCAAUAUGAACAGAUUGGUGAAUGUAUUUCACUUCCUUGGUGUAGAAGUUGCAUAAAUAUGCAUAAAGACUAUUAUAUAUAUUUUACAUACCUAAAACAGUUGAAAGUUACUUUUUUAACUUAGUGCUAUUUAACAAGCUUUGCUUUGAGUGUUGUUAUCAUGCUCUGUGAUGCAGACUGAAAGAAAUAUGUUGCUUUGGUCUAUAAAUAAUGUAUUUAUAAAUUGAUUUUUUAUUUUUAUUGAUCUUGGUUCAGUAAUUAAAUAAGUUGGAGAUAUAAUUUCUAAACAUUUUUUAUCAACAUAUGAUUAGUUAAUUUUUUAUGUAGAUUAAACUGCAUUUGAUAAGGAUGAAAAGAGAUCAAAGAUUUGUGCACAAUGAAAUUAUAUGUUACUAAUUACGUUCUUUUUUCACAUUUAUACAUUUAUGGUAACAGUUUUCUGAUUUCUUUAUUUUGUCUGACUAUCUUUUGUUGUACUAAUUUAAUAGGCUUACUGAAUAAGCAGUAAAAUCAGAAUGAUAACAAGAUUAGCUUGAUCUUUUUUUUUUUGCUAUGAUUAAUAAUUGAUAUAAAUUGUCUAUAAAUUUAAAUUGAUUAAAGGGCAAUUGAAUCACUAAUUUCACACUAUUGUUAAGUUUUCUGUACUAAUUUGUUUGACAUUAAAUAAAUAGGGCUUUUAAAGAUGA